GUGUUUGUUUCGACAGCACACACACUGAAACCGGAAUGAUACAGAGUGCAGCAUGGCUCCUGGGCAAGGAUGGCAUGCAAAUUCACCAAGUGUUCCAUAGUAAA
ensembl:snRNA U6 U6 spliceosomal RNA